AAGACCUCGCGCUAUUGGAGCGGCCGAUGUCCGAUUAGCUAGUUGGUGGGGUAAUGGCCCACCAAGGCGACGAUCGGUAGCUGGUCUGAGAGGAUGAUCAGCCACACUGGGACUGAGACACGGCCCAGACUCCUACAGGAGGCAGCAGUGGGGAAUUUUGGACAAUGGGCGAAAGCCUGAUCCAGCCAUGCCGCGUGAGUGAAGAAGGCCUUCGGGUUGUAAAGCUCUUUCGGCCGGAACGAAAUCGAUCGGGCUAAUACCUCGGUUGGAUGACGGUACCGGAAGAAGAAGCACCGGCUAACUACGUGCCAGCAGCCGCGGUAAUACGUAGGGUGCAGGCGUUAAUCGGAAUUACUGGGCGUAAAGCGUGCGCAGGCGGCUUCCUAAGUCAGAUGUGAAAUCCCCGGGCUUAACCUGGGAACU
rnacentral:rRNA from 1 species